GUCCAGUGCCAGACAGCUUCCCAUACAGCAAAUUUCCCAUCAAGCACUGAAAGCAUGUUUUUUCUACAUCUGGAAACUGUCCUGCUCCUCACUGGUGUUUGAGUGUUGUUCUGAUAUCCUGCUGAAAAGCCUCCAACCAAAAUCAGCCAACACAAAUUAAUAAAUUACCACCAGUCAGCAGGGGCAGAGUAACUGGACGGUGUGUGUUCUUGUCCUGAUGCACCCUACACCUCAACUGAUUAGCUGUAACUCCAUAAUUAAUGUCGAGUGUCCACCUGUGUCUGCUCUCCUCACUGGUACUGCAUUCCCCAUCUCAGAGCCAAAGAAACUCAAGAGGUCCUCCAACGAGCAAACACAUUACAUAAGCAUGAGGUGAGACUGGAGACUCUGAGAGGUAGGGAUGUUGAAAGAGCACUGAUUUAUGAGAACUGGAGCAAAGUGGUAACUGAAGCAAUAGCUCCUUUUCCAUGAUGCUGCCCUGUGUUUUGUAACCUACCUCAUGGCCACUGGAUGAUUAGGACCUUUCCUGAACGCACGAUUUCCCUUACCCUCAGUGUUUAUGAUGGCUGGUUUCAAUUAUUCCUUUCCUUCACACUCUGUAUUUCAACCUGCCUCAGAUGAGCAAUUCAUCUACUCUAUCAAAUAACUUACCAAGAUAGAUUUCACAUGCAAGGCAAAUACAUUUUCCUUCCCCUCAUAAUUCCACAACACUGUUUUUUAGAAUUCUGUUUCUCUUGCCUGAUUCCCAGCAAACCCUUACCCAGAGUAGAGCUUUCUAAUGUGCAGAUUGGGUAUAAAAUGCCAUCAGAUAACAGUGACAUUUCCACCUACUCUGUCCUGACCCUUGUGCCACAACUUUUCCCCCAUGUUACCUGAGCUUAUAUAAAGAGUGGGGUCAGAAAACGUUGCACAGGGCUGAAACAAGACCCCACCAUGGAUUGUCAUGUCCAUGUACAUGACUGAAGUAACUGGUGCCUAUGCAGAUUUGUAUGUAGUGGUGUUCUACGUAUGCGUGUGCACAGCAUGCAUGGCCAUGACCAAUGGUGCCAUGAUGCAUGUGAAAAAGCCCAUUUUUUACACAUGUAUUCAUGCUUUGUGAACUUCUGAUAUCAAUUCAUUUAAGAAUGGAGAGAAAAUUAAGAGAUUUGGUGCAUGUAGUUGCUCAUUCUUAAUACUCUUCUGAUCUUAGCAUAGAUGGGACCUGCACAGAUGAGUGAUGAGCGCUUGGAGGGUGAUUCCGUGGUAGAAGCAUCGUGUGGGUCCCAAGUUGGGUAUGGACACUGCUAUGGCACCCAAGUGAACGGAGCCCUGUGUCAGCAAAAAGCGUGAUGAAUAUCCAGGUGAGCUCAACAAGCACUCAGCAGAAUUCAUCUGCAGCUCAUUGAGGCAACACAGAGAGAGUUCAUGGGGAGUUUAUCAUGGGAACUGCUGAGGGUUAAUGGCCAGCAGAACAGAUUGAGCUGUGGGAUUACUAAAUAAUGAACUUUUCUCUCCAAUAAAUUUGUCCCUGACUUAUAAAAAAUCAAUAACAUACUACAUUUCGGGCUUUUUUUUUCCUUUUCCUUUUGGUGACGGUGGGGAAUGUGGGCUCAGAGUAAUUUUUAAACUACUCUUUCAUAUAUAUGUAUAAAUAUAUUUUACUCUGAUCAUUUAUACAAAAGCUCAGAUGUGCCACAUUUACUGCAGCUUCAUCACCUAGAUAGAUUUUUAUGUGGGUGCCCGGCUAUUGCUUUGUUUAAUCAUUCUUUUCUCUUCCCUCCCCAGUCCCUUGCCUCCCCCUUCCCUUCCAUGCUUUUUAUGACACUAUCGUCAGCGCAGAUAUACAGGAGGGUUUUCAUGUGAUAUAGGAUGUCGGAGAGGUCAGGUCAGCUGGGACAGAGCCAAAAAUAUUAGCACUUUCUAACUGCUGAGGAGAGAAAUUGAAAUAAUAGCACUUAUAAAUUGGCAGGUUUUCAACUGCAGGAGAAGAGAGGGAUUUUUUGCGUGUGUUUAUUUUGUUUCAGAAGUGGAGAGGAGGCGGAUCCGGUUCUUGGCCACAGAAGAGAUGUUCACUGUGCUUUGGGCUCGUGUUUGUGUUAAAUUUGGCCAGGAAGUGGUUGGUGGGCUGGUAUCUGUUCUCAGACACGCAUUUCCUGUUUUUAACCCAAUCUUUCUUCCCUCCAUCUCUGUAUGGAAAUAGAAUUAUAGAAUCAUUAAUGUUCGAAGAGACCAUUAGGAUCAUCAAGCCCAACCACAGGUCCCUCAGAUGACUGCAUAUAGCAAGUCUCCCCAAAAUACAGGAGGGACACCCAAUCCAGCUUUUCAGGGAUCUCCUGGGCUCUCUGCUUCAACAGUGAAUCACCAAGCCUUGGUGAAACCAUGGCUCUUUCAGUCACACCGUCACUGUUAGACAGCAUCAGCAAUGGAAAUCACCUCCUCUCACCAAAGCCCAAAGUGCUUUGCAGGAUCUGCCUUCCAAAACCUGCUCUCAUCUGGUCUCCGAUGCUUCACCUCAACCCAGGCACAGCUGUUACGUGUGCCAACCUGGGGAAAUCAGAAGCCAUGCAGCAAUAACUGUUAAUUGACCGAGAGCCACCUCUGCGAUGCCAACAGGAACAAAAGAACAAGCAUCUGGCUUUGCCAUCUGUGCCUGUUUAAAUGCAGCAAAAAGAAACCCUUCUCCAGAUCUCCCAGCUGGGUGGAGAGGUAACUGGAUUCAGCAGCAACGUGGAGUUGCAGGUUGGCUGGGUCUGUGGCUCCUAGUCACUCUGACAUGUGAAACCCUUUGCACGAGACAUGUUGACCUUCCCAGCCCUGGCUUUGUAGAUGAGAGCAAUGAUGGGCUCUGAUGGACGCAACUGAGCAGCCUGGAGUUAUUUCUAGUCAUGGUUGCAGUUCACUGUGAAUAAAAGUCCGGGUGUUCAGAAAUCACUCAGUGCUCAAAGUACUUGCAAGAGCUUUGAUGCACCCUUUACCUCUUUCCAUCUCACUAGGCAUGGCUAGGAGAGCUCUUCAAUGGAUCACAUGUCCUGGAAAAGGACACCUGUCUUGUGCCCCACACAUCCCAGAGGUCAUAAGGAAGGGAUCACUGGUGUUCAGACAACCUCCUCCACCAAAGUCUGCAAAACAAAUUAAAAGCAUAUCAAAUCUUCUGUUUUCCAAGGAGCUUCACAUGAUAAAAGCUGAGUCAGAGGUCUCUGGUGUGCUGGGAUCCUGAAACUUCUAGGAAGGUCAGUGUCAAAAUGCAGUACCUUCCCUUCUAGUCAGAGCACUGUUAAGCUAAAUUAUGGAAUCAUAGAAUCAUGGAAUCAGAAAAUCCUGACUUGUAAGGGACCCAUAAGGAUCAUCGAAUCCAACUCCUGGCUCCAAACUGACCUUUCCAAUGAGAAAAGGAUAGGAUUCAGCAGCUCACUUUUGAAAGACAGUUUAGUCCAAGCUACCUGAUAUUUGCAGUAGAGGAGCCAGUCCUACUGAGAAAACCAAACAAGACCAGAGCUAUGGUCUGACACCAAGUAUAAGGUUUCUCCCUAGCAAGGCUUCAUCCAGCCAGCACUUGAGGUAGCACACAGCCUCAGCAAGAAUGAGACCAAAUAAGAGGGUACCACAGGGGCCGUUCCUAAAAGGCAAAAUGGAGAGAGCCAUCCUGAAGGAGGGAGUGAAGAGAAGAGUCUGGCCAGGUGGUCCCAGACCGUGCCAUGCCAUGCCAUUUUUCCCUAUGACCAGAGGAUGAGUUCUGUUUUAUGUGCUAAUAUAAGCCCAGAGAAGUGGAGCGGAUUACUUACUGAAGAUGAUGAUCCAUCCUCAUUGACUCCCAAGGGCAUCCAAACACCAGGUGAGACUGGAUGUCGGACACCCAUCUGGUGAAGUCUACCUGAUGUGCUUUUAGGCACUGUGAGUUGUUCUCCCCACUCUCUGGACUACCUAUUUAUUUUAGGACAAGACGUGAUGGCCUCAAGUGGUGCCAGGGAAUGUUCAGGUUGGAUAUUAGGAAAAAUUUCUUCUCUGAAAGAGAGAAGAGUGGUAAUGCAAUGGCACAGACUGCCCAGGGAAGUGGUGGACUCUGUUCCUAGAGGUGUUCAAGAACUGUGGAGAUGUGGCACUGAAGGAAAUGAUCAGUGGGGAUGGGUUGGGGUUGGACUUGGUGAUCUUAGAGGUCUUUUCCAACCUUAAUGAUUCUAUGAUUCCACUGCAUGUUUGGUAAUUGCAUCUGCACAAACCUUUUCCAUUGCAGCUGCUGCCUGACUGAGACUUGAGACAAGGCUGUAGAAUGGCUCUUUCUGUUAUCUAGGGGAAAUGUUUGGCCCUUGUGAGAUCUGCAAACUGUUGGACCAUGUGGUACUCAGUCCUGGUCUCAUGCUGCCUGUUUUUGUGCAGUGGCUAUUCACCAACAGUGAGCUGUGUUUGAUGACUGAGAUGAAAAUGCCAGGAACAGCCGACUAUAGAUACAGAAUUAGACAUCCUGUGAGGGAUUAAACAAAGUACGGUUUGCUGGGGAGAAUCCAAAGCCACGAUAGAUUUAUCUAAUGCAUUUCUUGCUCUCUGUAUGGUUCUGGAAGUUCAGAAAUCUUUGGGUUCAAUUAACUCUGCCACAAGCAAGCAGGGAUAAUUUGUAGGGGAUGUAAAGUCUCAAGAAGUUGAAAAGGAAGCACUUAUUUUUUUUACUGUGUGCCGUAUUUGCAAGAGAGUUCCCCAUAAGCAAAGUCUUUGGUAGCCUGAUUCAUAUGGAGAAGUCUGGAGGUAUCAACCCUGAGAAAGGACAGAAACAAAAAAUAAUUAUGAGGUUGACUAAUGGUCAGUGAGUAUCAGAGCUUGUCUGUUAUGUCUAUACUGUGUUGGACAUAGGCGAGUAGGCAAGACACACACGUAGUGCAUGCUCUGUCCUGAAGGCUUAGCCAUUAUUAUUUCUCAUUUAUUUGAUUUUCUAUUUACUGUAAAGGUCACUCUACCUGUAUGUAUUGGGUGAUAUUUUGGGGUUUCUUUUGCAUGGGGGGAAAACGUAACUGAGGUCACAUUGGAUAUAAUAUUUCUUAGUGUGUACUCUAUAUUCAUACGCCCAAUGCAUGGUAAAGUAAGGCAGCAUUCUUUAAGAGAUGGAAGAAAAGCUGAUAACAGUUUGUGUUCUCUAUAUAAUUCAGGCACAACUAUCUGUCAACAGAGCAAGGUAAUUAUCCCAAUAAGAUUUCACGAAACAAGGAAAUAUCAUGGAUUUUAUAAACCUUAUUAUCAUUAAGAGUGAAUGCAAAACAACAAAAGGAGCCUUAAAACAAAAUGUUAUGUUGAAAUCAAUACUGAUUCCUUGGGAUAAGUGUUAUGAGGCAGUAAAAUUCUCUAAGAUUUCUCCCCCCCCCCCCCCCCAAAAAAAAGAGGCUGCAGACAAAUCAAGGGAGAGCAAACAGCUCUAAAGCAGCCUAAUCACUCUGCAAAUUGGGGAACGAGCAAUGCAGUGCUGAUUUUUUUCCAACAUCAGUGCGUUGCUCUAAAAAUGUCCCUCCUCCUUUUGCUCUUGUGCCCCCCCCACCCAACAAGCCCAAAUAAUAACCCAUUACUGACGGCACCAUAACGGCGCCUUCAGGGAUGGGAUUAGAGUAAGUAUCAAUUUGGAAAUUAGCAGCCUGGUUCAACGAGCAGCGUACCAGCCCUGCAGGCAAAAGGAGAAAUCUGAAAUUUGCACACGUGCUGCCUCACGAAACGCUGCUUUCAUUACCCCCUUCCCUCUCCCUCCACGCCAUCAUGCAGAUCAGCUGCUCCGUACAGCCUUAUCCGGCACUGCGGCUCAAAGGCAGAGAUGUUUCCCAGGGCAUGCUUGUGUGGGCCUCCAGCUGUCAGCUUUCCUCCAUCCAUCCCAAAAUGAUGCGUCCAUGGGCCACUGAGCAAAUGGGACUCAAUGCUUGUGUUCAGAUUUGUGGCAAGCGUGGGAAUUUUAGGGACACUGCUUAGUCAGCAAUAUUGGUGGUAGGUGGAUGGUUGGAUUGGAUGAUCUUAGAGGGUCUUUUCUAGCCUUAAUGAAUCUAUGAUUCUAUGAAUGGAUUCUGUUUUCCAGAGAGACCUAGACAGAGCAGUGGGUCCAUGAAAACCUCACGCAGUUCAACAAUGCAAGGUCUGCACGUAGGUCAUUGAAACCCCACUACUGAUACAAGCGAGGGGAUGUAAGGAUGGAGCGCAGCCCUGCCAAAAAGGACCUGGGGGUACUGGUGGAUGGCAGAUGGACAUGAGCCACUGCAACAGGUUGCCUAGAGACGUGGUUUUCACCCCAACAUAGAGUACGAAGCAUCAGGCCUUCCACCAGGACAGACAUCCUAUUUGUAAACACUGCUUUAUUGUAUCUUACUCUCCUCCAUAAUGCUUUUCACUCCAGCAUGGAUGAACCUUCAUGGGAGUUUUUCCAGUGUCACCCUUAAUAAUGACAUCAUUCUCUUUUUACCAAGACACUUUGCUAGACUGGAAGACAACAGUUUCGUAUCAGUCCCUCAAGACAAGCCAGUAAUCAUCCAACAGACCAUCUCAUCUUCACUGACCAUUCCUGUGAUGGGAGUUGCUCACGUCAGAGGAGCAUUAAAGGUGAGAGGGAACCAGUGUGCAAAGACUGAACUAUGCAUCAGACGUUGGGUGCUGGUAUAGAAUCAUAGAAUCACUGAGGUUGGAAAGACCUCUAAGAUCAUCAAGUCCAACCAUCAACCCAAACCCAUCACCACCAUGCAACUAAACCACGCUAUACAUUGUGAUAUCUUCCCCUUUCUUGAUAACUUCCAAGGAUGGUGACACCACCAUCUCCCUGGGCAGCCUGUUUCAAUGCUUCACCAAAGUACAAGAGAUCCCAACUCUGCUGGAGUAGCUGCAGCCCUUCAGUGCCUCAGCCUUAUGCUCCUGAUUGGCCAUGGGUGUAAUUACUGAACACAACAAACCAAAGAGCUCACUUCUCUGAUUUUUAUUCUCACUCUGGUCAGGUUUCCUGUGGCAGCCUGUAGCUGGAGGUGGCCUAUGCAGAAUUAGCUACUCUACAGCCAGAGCCAGAGCAGCUCCAACCUCUCACUGUGAAUGCGAGCACACAGCUGAAGAAAGGAUUGCCACAAAGGGUUAGGAAGAAAGGAAAAGGAGAUUAAUGCUCAUCCCCUCGAUCUGAUCCUACUCCCUUUGAAACUUUCAGCAAAGCAGAUUAAGGCUGUAAGCUUCACCAGGCAGGGGGUGUUACUCACCACUGCGUUUUGGAAAGUCAAACAACAACCGAACCCUGAUCCUGACCUCCAUGCCUCGCAGAGAUAAAUUAAUAAUUAAAAAUAAUGCUAAUGAUAACAUUAAUGAUGAGGUUUGUGCUGCUAAAUGGGGAGUUUUCUCCAGCAGCAGUAUUUUCCUCUGUGACUGGCAGCUCAUUUGCUGCUAUUGAUGCUCUGAAGCAUGAUGAGGAGUAGCUGGGUGAGUAUUUCUCUAACCAAGCACUUUGGGUCAAAUGCAGAGUGAUCUCAUGCAGUAUCUCACAUGGCUGGCCUGAAAUGUCAAGCCCUGCACUUGGAGCGAGGGGCGAGCAGGUCAGGUCAUGUCUGGUUGUAAAAGGAUUGUUUGUGCCACACUCCAUCCAUGGCCUUGUGUUGGGAGGACCCAAACAAUCCUUCCCUUCAUUCUCCAGCAGAAUGGUAUUUUCGGGAAGACAAGGGGCUGGCAUUAACUUCCUUGCAUCUGAUGAUGUUUUUUUUCCUAAUAUGUUUCUUUUGAAACUCACCCUAUUCCAUAGCUGCAAGUCCAGACCCAUAUCUGCACCGAAGGAACAGAAGAAUCCUUAGGUCUUCCCUUUGCCUGUGUCAGUUUUGCAAUUCAGCUCCAUCAGGACAGCCACAUGAGUUUUACUCUGUAAGGAAACUCCUGCACGGUGCAGAUUGCUGGGGCCAUUCAGAUCCACAUGUUGCUUCUGUGCCUAACACAGCCAUGACUCACUCAGAGGGUGGUGACGCACUGGAACAGGUUGCCCGAGGAAGUUGUGGAUGCCCCAUCCCUGAAGGCAUUCGAGGCCAGGCUGGAUGUGGCUCUGGGCAGCCUGGUCUGGUGGUUGGUGACCCUGCACAUAGCAGGGGGUUGAAACUAGAUGAUUAUUGUGGUCCUUUUCAACCUUCAACUUUUGCAACCUCUAUGCAAGGGAGAGAGGUGGUAAUAGCAUGUAUGAUCACCUCCAAUAGAUGCCAGCAGUUAUUUCUAUCCAUAGAGAAACAAGGAGCCAGAAUUUGCAAAAUAGGUGCUUUGUACUGAUUGUCCCUCUCUUGACCUUCCAUAGCGUGGUACUCACAGCAACGUCUCCAUUAGCAAUAUUCACCCUCAGCUCCCAUUAUAGUCAAUGGCACUUGCAUGACAUGAUCAAUCUCACCAAAAUUAGCCAAACCAAACCACCCCUUGGGAGUGCUGAUUUCUUACUGAUGUCUGCCAGGUGAGCCAGAAUCGACCAGCUCAGGUGGAAGCCAUUGCAGCUUGCAUGUCUCAGGCUGUGGGGAUGAUCCCUACUCCCUACAAGGGUAGACUUCAAAUCCCUGGAAAUAAUAUAAGUACAUGAAACCAAUGGGGGCUGGAACUCACUAUAACAACUUCUCUGAUCUGGAGAGGAAACCAUUGAUUUCCCAGUUUCCUGGUAUGGAGACAUCUCUUCUUCAGUGUUGUCCUGUCAGAGGUCAUCUAAGAUUGGGGAUUUAUAGGGAAAAUUGCAACAUGGUUGACCUUGACUCUACAAUGGAGGAAACAAUAUCGAAUCUCUGUCCUUCUCCUCAUUUUUUAGCCCUAUUCUGAUGUUUUUCUUGAGACAGCAUGCUGUUGAGGGACCUCAUCAUUUUUAAUUUUUCUUUUCCCCUUCAUCAAGCCAACCAUUCUAUUAUAAAAUGGUGGUUCCAUUUCUUAAUCUUCCUAUUUUCUUCUCAGUGUGUGUUUGCUAAUCAAUUUCACAAGCUGCUGCGUGAAGAGUGGGAAGAAGGGCUGCUCUCCUCCUUCUUUUGGACCUUUUCCCAGAAACUAGACCAAGCCAGUUUUCUCUCUGGUAGCCUGUAGCUCAUGUUAGAUCCCCAUGUACAUGGACAGAAGGGGCUACUGAGGUUGGGGCCUUGUAGCUGAGAAGCCACCACCUCUAGUCUCUCCUUUCGUCAUCAUAUAGGAACAGGUUGCCCAGGGAAGCGAUGGAGUUACCUUCCCUGGAGGUUUUCAAGAUGAGAGUAGAUGUUGCAUUGAGUGUCGUGGUUAGUGGGCAUGGUGGGGAUGGGCUGAUGAUUGGCUUAGGCGAUCUUAGUGGUCUUUCCAACCAUAAUGAUUCUAUAAUCCUUAGGAUGGAUGAGGAGACUUCAUCCAGCAAUUUCCAGCGCACCAUGAUGAAUGGCUGGAGGGUAGCAGGUGACGUCUCAGAGAACAUCUCAAAGGAAAGGACAAAGAUUGAAGCAACUGAACUGCUGUAAGGGCAUAGCUUUUGUCUCCAACUCCACAUGAGUUACAAGAAGCUCAUAAAUAGAUGAGCAACUUGUAUGCAUUGAGCAACUCAUGUGUAUGUCACUGAAGCUGGAAAUGUUCAAGGAACAUUUAGACGUUGUGUUGAGGGAUGUGGUUUAGUGAGAACUCUUGGUGAUGGGUGGAUGGUUGGACUGGAUGGUCUUGUAGGUCUUUUCCCACCUUGGCAAUUCUAUGAUUCUAUGAUUGCUACAGCUCAGCGCAGUCUGGAAGUGCUGGAACUCCUUUUCAGCUGCUGGAGCUGAGAUCUCUAAAGGUGCUCAGGUGCCUAAAGAUGCUGACAUGCUUACUAGGCUUUGCAGAAGUGCUCAUUUUUUAAAGUCCUUAUAGUUAUCUCUCUUCAGACUCCAAAGUGGCUCCAGAAAGCUGCUCUGGAAAGUCUACAGAUACAUGAACAAUGUUUUAAUCCUCUGACCAGAGAAAAAUCUCUGUCCUUCCAGCCACCUGGUGCACAGCAGUUCAUAUGCACACCGCUGAGGCACACCACCCUGGAAUGAUUCCUUUCCUCUAAGCCCGUCUAGCCAGCAUGUCAUUAUUAUUUUUGAGUGAUCAUGUGUUUUGAGAUCAAAGGACUUAAAAUAAAGCAAUAGCUGUGUUGCAGCCAGCCUCACUGCGUGGUUCUGAAAGUGUAUACGUGUUGUCUGCCUUGUUGGGAAAGCACAGGAAUAAAGAGAGUUCAGAGGAUACAAAUCAGGUUGCUCAGAGAAGCUGUGGAUGCCCCAUCCCUGGAGGUGCCCAAGGCCAUGUUGAGCGUGGUCCUGGGCAACCUGAUCUGGUGGGCAGCAACCAGCCACAGGAGGGAGGUUGAAACCCUAUGAUCUUUAAGAUCCUUUCAUGGGCUAAAACAUGCCCAGAACACUAAUCCAGAGUUUCCUCACUCCUAAAAGGAGUUGAGGAUGGACCAUAUAUUCUACAAUCAAGGGACCAAACAGCAGACAAUUCACUCACUGGGCAGUACAGAAGUAACAUACAACUCAGAUCCUCAGAAAGACCCACAGGGAGCUUAACACAUCAGAGCAGCUUCUCCCUCAGCACUGCAGGUAGGAUUUCCUGAAAGACUCACCCACUUUCUGCACCUGCUCCCCUUGGCAUCAAUAAGAGGAGGAGGGGAAAGAAGGGAACUGCUAUUGAUUGUGAAAAUGCAAUUCAGCGGAUGCUUCAAUAAAUCAGAAUCUUAGAAUCAGAGAAUAUUCUGAGUUGGAAGAGACCCACAAUGACCAUCAAGUCCAACCCCUGGCUCCACACAGCAGCACCUAAACCCUAUGUCUGAGAGUGAUGUCCCUGUGCCCAUUGCCUUGGGCAGCCUGCUCCUCUGCUGGGGGCCUAUCCCUCCAAUUAAUCCUCCUUCCUCCAUUCUCUGCUGCAAGGAAGUGUCCAGCCAAACCUUCGUGAUUCACGCUAUAAAGAGAUCAAAUCAUGUCAGUACUUCUAUGUUUUGCUGCUGAAAAGGAAGAUUAUCUUUCCUGCCUCUGACAAAAGACCACUAAAAGCAAUUUGCAGACAAUACCCUAGUUAAGAACAAUAAGCCAAGCGUAUGUCAUUAGUAACCAGACAAGUUCAAAGGCAUUUGUACUCCUGCCUGGUACUCCAGUCACUCUGCUCUGUACUGUGAAAAGCACUACAUGUACUUCCUGAGAGCUCUUCUCCAUCAAACUACCAAUAGAAUGAACCUUUUGUGCAUUUUUGUAUAACAAGAAAUGGGCUUGCAAUUUUUCUUCACAGGUUUAAGUAUUGGGGAGUUUUCUUCCCUGGGAUAAAGUGGUGACAUGCUUGGCAACCCAAUACUCACCAAACAAUGGGGAUAAAUAAAAUAUAUUCAAGAAAGGGGUAUUUAUUAUUAUUAUUACUAUUAUUAUUACUAUUAUAGCUAUCCAACCAAUCUAAGGAAAAAUAUUUCACAGUAAGGGUGGUGAGGCACUGGUACAGGUUGCCCAGAGAGGUGGUGGGUGCCCCAUUCUUGGAGACAUCCAAGGUCAGGCUGGAGGGGCUCUGAGCACUGAUGGAGCUGUGGGUGUCCCUGUUCAUUGCAGGCAGUGGGGCCAGAUGGUCUUUAAGGGUCCCUUCCAACUCAAACCAAUCUGUGAUAUGCCAUGAAUCCAACCACUGAGUGAAAACAGUACUUUGUGAGAGAAGUGCCAAACAAUGCCAAACAGAUACUGGAGGACAGUAGCCCUCCUGCUUGCAGCAGUGCUCUGAUGGCUCAGCAGAUGCCAAGCAGCUGGUGCUGCCUACUGGCCUGUGCAAGGGUUCAUGCAUAUCAGUUGUCCCCAUUCAUAUAUGUUUAUGACAGAUGCCCAUCCACUGGACCCUACCAGUCCAAGACAGUGACACUCAAUAACUGCAUCUCUGUCUCUAGGUUUCCAAACAGACAAAAAGCUUUACACAGGCAAGUGGAACGAAACCUUAGCCUUCUCAGAAGCACACUUAGGGACUGUGAAGAAAAUUUUGGCGAUGAGUUUUUCACCCCUGGGACAACAUCCUAUGCAUCAUAGCAAGAAUACAUCGGGGAAAGUGCACACCUGGAAGAGCUCACAGUCUGAAGGGAUUGGAUAGAAACCUCACAUCUGAUGUUGUGCCUGGUUUUUAAAGCAGUUUUGAACACUGGGUAUCAAAAUAUGUUCCCUGCUCUGAAGUUUAAGCAACCUGCUCCUCACGCUUCAAUAGCAAGCUGCACUCAAGAGGACAUUUGCUGCCCACUCCUAUGGAUGACAAAACACAAUUUAUGGGAUGUGUUGUACAGAAAGGAGGCAGCCUUUGCCUCAAGGUGUAGGUAGCAGAUUGACCAAAGCUAGAGGUCAAUAGGCCAAUAUUUGACCAGGCAUGGCUCCUCCUUGCAUCCCGUUUGGGAGCCUUUCUGCAAGCAGAGAGCAGAGAUUGAGAAAUCAGCAAGAUUGGUCACCCUUCCCUUCAUUGCUUAAAUUAUUUACUUUACCGUUUUCUCUUCUCCUGGCAGCUGAUUUGUCAAAGCAAGUGAAGCAGCUAGAAAGAGAGUUGUGGCUGCAGCAGGAAUAUUACAGCAAUUAGAAAGGGCCAUAAACAGUUCUCUACAUAUGAAACUGCUCAUUGAAUUUGACAAGCAGCCUUUUCUUCUUCUCCCCGCCACCAAAUACAAUGCAGCCUCUUUCCCUUUCAUAAAUGCCAGCACUUUUUCUUUCGGUUCCCACCAAGGGUCCCUCACACUCAACACUCAGAUCAAUACAUUUGCGGACUGAAAGGGACCUUUCUCCUCAACACUCAGCCUCUCGCGGACAGAAUUAAGGCUGAUUGAGUAUGUCACAGUCCGACUGCAAUUUAGAGAGGCAUCGUGCAACCGUGCUGUCCUGGCACCGGUCCAGCUGUCAGAUUUAAUAGAAAAGUAGAGCAGCUUCAUCUGCCCCAAACGGCACGCUGCUCUCUGCAGCCACUGAUUUAGGCUUCCUACACGUUACGGUCUGUCACUUGGAAGUGAUGGAUGAGGUACCAGUGGAUGUCUCUUGCUCACUCCCGGUAGCGAUAAGCAAGUAGCAGGUACGUCAGGAGAAGAGCUGAAGGGAUUAUCUUGGGCUUAUUUUGUGUUUGCCAAUACUGAAGGCGGAGAACAUGCUGCCAGAGCAGGAUGUUAUAAAUUAUAUUGUGCUAUAGCAGGUAGGGCUGAAACGUGGUGGCAAUGGGUUGAUGGUUGGACUUGGUGAUCUUAGUGGUCUUUUCCAACCUUAAUGAUUGUGUGAACCUGUUGAGGCUUCUCCAACCUCCAUAAUCAUGGGGGGAGACCUCUACAGAGCUCCCUUCCACUUACAUAGUGUCUAAGGGUUGAACUCUUGCCAUAUGUUAGAAAUUAGGACCAAAGGAGGUCUUGUUGACCUCCUGUCCUGCCAUGAGAUAGAAUUGCCUGUGCUACUUUGCACAACACUGGGUCAUUCAGGUUAAUAUUUCCCCUGGAGAGAAGCAGCAUGAGUCAGAGUACCCACUUGGAAAGGAGAGAUUGGGGUGAUUUGGAGUGGAAUGAUGGAGGGCCUUAUGACAAACUGCUCUGUAAUUACGUUGGCAAAGGUCUUCUGCCAACAAGGAGCAGAGCAGCACCUAGGUGGAUACAGGUGGCAUUGCAUUUCCUGGGUACCUCAAUUUGCUUUGUUUCUGCUCCAGAAGGAUGCUGAUUAACUGUGGGUGGUUCAGGGAAGAGCUGCCUGAACAGCUGAAGGUUUGGGGAUGGAGAUGACAGGAGCAGGGGGAGGCAGAUGCUGCCUGGUGUUACUGAGAAAAGGUUAAGGGGUAAUUUAUCAUUGUCUGUAAGUACCUGCUUGGGAGCAGUAAUUUGAGAUGAGAGCUUUUGAGUCUGUAUCACAAAAGGAUAACUGGAACUGUUGGCUGUGUGUUGGUGUGAGGUGCAUUUUCUGAGACACAGGCACAGCAAAAGGAGUGGGUGGGGGAAAGGCAUCACAGCUGUCAACAGGUGCUCCAGCCCUCCACCUCCAAUGGUUGCAGUCCCCUCUUUCCUUAACUCGGGAAUCCUGCACCUAUUUGCAAAUGACAAGGCUGAUGCAAGCAGAGUAGAAUAGGGUAUUUACCUCCUUCUGCCUAAAAAUCCCAACGUUGCCUUUGCCUUGCAAGAUGGAACAGAACCACUUACAAUCCCAGAUUUUCUACAGCCUGUUAAUCCCAAGAGAUGCAGACAUGUCAGACUUCUUGGCUUCAGGGAUUUCAACCCAAAGGAUAAUUAUGAAAAAACUCCCAAAUUGAUAUGCUUGAUCUUAAGAUUGUUACCACAGCCCCAAUAAUUUUGUUGGAAGUCCCAACCCCACUGAUUAAAUCACAUUCUUAAGCUGCAAUUCUCCACCUAUCUACAGUCAUUCUGUAUUUUGACACAGCAACCCCAGUGAUUUCCUACAACCAUAUCUCCCAUAACAUGCCUGGUUAUUAAUUCUCAGGAUGCAUCACACAGCUUCAGCAGUGAAAAGAUGCCCUCUGCAUUAUGGAAGAUAAAGUUCUUCAGGAAACUCAGCUCAGAAUGCAGCUUGGAGCUGGGAGGUCCCAGUUUGCAGUGUCCACAUGAGAAAAGACUGCCACUUAAUUCUGAAAUCACAAUGUAUUCAAAGUCAUUACUUGCUAUCAAAAAUAUAAGGGAUUACCAGAUGCAAAAUGAGGCAUUUAAUUCUCAUGUCAUCUAAAUCAGAAAUUUUCCCCCAUCACAUUUAAAUGGUGUGAUGAAGCCCUUAUGGGAAACCUGUUUGGCUGAAGAGACCAUGGCCAGUUUCAAGGAUUAACUACUCAGUACAAACCAUGGUGACUUUUCCUCAGCUGGAUGCCAUUAAACAGAGAUCAGUUCCAUUUGCUUUGUUGAAAGAAAGAAAAAAAAAUAGAGAAAAAUAAAAGCUCUUUUUAGCUCCAACUCUGUGUCUAGCUUUGAGGAGCCUUGUCUUCAGAUAGUUGGAUAGACCAUGGCUGUCUAUGACAGGGACAGGACAGGAGCUUGCACCAGGAGGAGGCUGUGCUGCCACAGCAUUCAGCUCUGCAAGCCCAAACGUUGUGGCUGCCAACGUUCAGAUGAACAAUGCAAUUUACAUCCAAACACUGCUCCUGGGCAGCAGAAUGCAACCAGUCAACCAGAGCAAGGGCUGAUUAUGGGAAACAUCUGGGGUGAAAUGGGAAUUCCCCAUUCUCUAGUCAUUCCCUGGACUAUUUUAGGACAGCUUCUUCAUAAAAUGGAAGUGCAGUCUUCUCCAGAGCCCCACCUGUAUAACCAAGGGCAGGUUGGGCCAGAGGAAUGAAAUAAAUGAGCUUUUUAAUGGGCUUUAAUCACAAAUUGUCCUUCAGGGCUUGAUAGAGGUUUCUGCCACAUCAAAGAGAAAUCUCCUGUCCAUUUCAAGGGGAGAAGAAGCAAACUUGUGAACAGCACAUCAGAAUUAAACCUUGUAAAAGAUCACUGCACAAAGUAAAUGCACUGGUAGUGCUCAGGAGAAGGGAGAGAGCAACUGCUUGGCUGGUGAUUUAUCACACCUUUUGGACCCCCAAACUCUUUUGCAUUUUGAUUUCAGAUGGGCUAUAGAAAGACAUGUCUAUAAUGUCUGUGUCCAACUAUCCACUCUUAAUGACCCAGUGGAACACCCAAAACAGGCAGAGCUUUGCCUGUUUCAACAUGAGAGUCCAUCUUCCAAAACAAGAGCUGCAGAGACUAUGUCUGGAUCAGGAGAUAGGGGCUCAUCUUUCCUUCUGCAGUCAUUUGGUGACUACAGCACAUGCCUGAGCGCUAGGAAAUGGUCAGUGAGCAAUGCCUAUCUCUUUUGCCUGUAAUAAUGUAAGCCUGCUUGUCCCUCAUAAGUACUUUGAGGACAUGAUAAUGGGAUAUUCAAACACAGGGAGCUCACUGUUGCUGCCAAUGGGACUUCCCCACUUUAUCAUGGAAGAUGGGAAAGAGUGACUACAGAUUGCACUUUCCUCCUUGCCGUCAUAUCAGGCUUCUGCUCUGCUUCCCCAGCUGGUUAAUACACUGCUUCUUAACUACAUCUCUUCAGAAAUGUCAGUCCAGAUGAUGUCAGAGCUGAAAGAUGACCUCUCAAGCCCUGGCCUGGGAGAGUAUUGGCUCCCUUCCUUAAAUCCACAUUGUACAGGGACUCUACGAGGAAGUCUGAACAGAUCUGUGGCCUUUAGCAGGGCAUGAGAAAGGGAGACUGCUCAGAUGGGAGAAGGACUUAUGGGCAGACAAUGAGGAUUUUUCAUGAUGUGACAUUUUAUUUGCGCUGAUAUGUUGACAUGAGUCCUGUGAGUCAUCAGGAGAGCUGACUUCUGGAUUCUCAGUUCUUAGCUCCUCUUUUGUCUACAGGGCUUGCUUCUUUCCGGGACUUAGCACUAAUGAAAUUAAAAUCUUUUGCUUCUGAAAGAAUUAUGGGUCUGGCUCAUGCCAAAAUAUUAAUUCUGUGGGAGAAAGGGGCAAUGUAAGCAUCUGAUGGGUGUGUGAGAUGGAUGAGAAAAAACAGAGGAAAAUUUUGUCUUAGUGUCAGGCUCUGCAAUUUUUAUUUUUUGGAGUUAGCUUCAUUUAAGACUAACUGAGCAUCAUAGGCAGUCAAUGGCUUAACAGAUAUCUGUGCCAAAGAACACGUUAUCUGCAAGUGAAAUAUCGUAACGGGUCUAUGUGAUGGAAAGCACUAGAAGGACAAGUUAUAAAUAC
ensembl:lncRNA